CCUGAGUCCUGAUGAACAAUACCUCCAACUCGAUCGGAGUUUUCUUCCCGGCCGGCAGCUAACUUCGUUCUUCUGAACUGAGCUCAGG
rnacentral:snoRNA from 1 species